rnacentral:rRNA from 1 species
CGUGUAGGCGGCCCACUAAGUCUGAUGUGAAAGCCCGGGGCUCACCCCCGGAAGUGCAUUGGAAACUGGUGGACUCGAGUCCCGGAGAGGAGAGUGGAAUUCCUGGUGUAGCGGUGAAAUGCGUAGAUAUCAGGAGGAACACCGGUGGCGAAGGCGGCUCUCUGGACGGUGACUGACGCUGAGACGCGAAAGCGUGGGGAGCAAACA